rnacentral:rRNA from 1 species
UACGUAGGGGGCAAGCGUUGUCCGGAAUCAUUGGGCGUAAAGAGCGUGUAGGCGGCCCGGUAAGUCCGCUGUGAAAGUCCAGGGCUCAACCCUGGGAUGCCGGUGGAUACUGUCGGGCUCGAGUCCGGAAGAGGAGUGUGGAAUUCCGUGGUGUAGCGGUGAAAUGCGCAGAUAUCAGGAGGAACACCAAUGGCGAAGGCAGCACUCUGGGACGUGACUGA